GUUGGAGCAAAUUGAAGUUACCGUUAAGUGUUUUGAAGUUGUUUGAAGUAGUCUUUGUUUCAUGUUUGAUUUAGUCUUUCAUCGUGUCAAUAAGGUCCGAGUAUCUCGGUCAUAGUUGGUCUUAGUUGUUAGUUUGUUUCAGCUUUUGUAGGAACGACUUGUUAUCUUUGUAAGGCUAUAUAUGUGGCCAUCUAUCUAUGGAAUAAGAUCAGAGUUUACAAGUCAAUUACAGAGCAAUAUAAACUACAAAUUGGUAUCAGAGCUCUGUUCUAGACAAACAAAAGCCGCAGCUUCUAAACUCAAAGCAAGAAGAGAUGGAAGAAGAAAAGAUGAAGGUUCCGCAAUUUGAUGGGCACUGGGAUCAUUGGAGUGAGGUCAUGGAGAAUUUCUUUCGAGCAAGAGGACUGUGGAGCUUGAUUGAAAACGGGUUUGAAGAACCUACGACCACAACGAUCCUAACCACAGAGCAGAGGGCACAACUCGACAGUGCCAGGAUGAAUGACCACAAGGUCAAGCAUUACCUCUAUCAAGCUAUCGAUAGGGUAACGUUCGAGCAGAUCCUGAAUCGAAAGACUUCCAAGAUCAUAUGGGAGUCAAUGAAAGGAAAGUUUGGAGGAAAUGCUCGGGUGAAGAAGUCAUUGUUGCAGAAGCUCAGGAGGGAUUUCGAGCUAUUGGAGAUGAAAGAUGAUGAGAAAGUGGAGGAGUACUUCACAAGAGUCUUAGCCGUCACUAACCAGAUGAGGAGCAAUGGUGAAGUGUUGGAAGACACGAAGGUGGUUGAGAAGAUCUUGAGAACUUUGAGUGAAAAGUUCAUGUAUGUUGUUGUCUCCAUUGAGGAGUCAAAGGAGAUUGAAACAAUAUCAGUGGAUGAACUUCAAGCUUCAUUGGUGGUCCAUGAACAGAAGUUCAAGAAAUCAGAAAGAGGAGACGACCAAGUGUUGAGCGUCACCCAUGGAAGAGGAUCAGGAAACCGAGGGAGAGGCUUCAAUGGAAGAGGUAGAAGCCGUGGUCGUGGAAGAUCAUCGUUCAACAAAAGCACCGUGGAGUGCUACAAGUGCCAUCGUUUGGGACAUUUUCAAAAUGAAUGUCCUAAGUGGGAAGAGGAAGCUAACUAUGUGGAGGAAAAUGAGGAUAUGUUACUGAUGGCAUACACUCAUGAGGAAGACGAGAUCAAUGAUGAGGAUCAUGAUCAAGUGCUGAUGAUUCACUCCGGGAACCGCGAAUCUGUGAAGAAAAGGGUAUGGUUUCUAGACUCAGGUUGCUCUAACCAUAUGAGUGGAGAUCAAGAUCUGUUCUCAUCAAUGGACAUGAAGUUCAAGCACUCUGUUAAGUUGGGAAACAAUACGAAGAUGGAGGUCGUUGGAAAAGGAAACGUGAGACUGGUGCUGAACAACAACGCCUACACCAUAAGUGAUGUUUACUACGUGCCAGAGCUCAAAAACAACUUGAUAAGUCUUGGACAGCUGCAAGAGAAGAAAGUCACUAUCAUCAUUCAACAAGGAGCUUGCAAGAUCUAUCAUGAAGAAAGAGGUCUAAUUGCAGAGAGCAGAAUGAGUCUGAACCGAAUGUUUGUGUUGGUUGAUCAGACCGAUGGCGACAAGAAGGGAAAACAACAAUGUCUUCUCACCACAACAGAGGACAUGUCACGACUAUGGCACGAGCGUUAUGGUCAUCUCAGCCAUCGAGGGUUGAAAACGCUACAGAGCAAAGAAAUGGUACGUGGUCUUCCUACCUUUGAUGCUCAAAGUUUCACAUGCUCUGAUUGCUUAGUGGGGAAGCAACCGAGAAAACCGAUACCAAAGAAGAGCACAUGGCGUGCUAAGGAGAUACUGGAGCUUGUUCACUCAGACAUAUGCGGUCCAAUCAAUCCCAUUUCUACCAGUGGCAAAAGAUACAUUCUGUGCUUCAUAGAUGAUUGUAGCAGAAAGGCUUGGGCAUACCUGUUGAAAGAAAAAUCAGAAGCGUUCUCACAGUUCAAGAUAUUCAAGAAGAAGGUUGAAACAGAGAGUGGGAAGAUCUUGAAAUGCUUGAGAACCGAUAGAGGGGGUGAAUACACAUCACAUGAGUUCACUGAAUUCUGCAAGGAGCAAGGCGUUCGUAGGCAGCUAACUACAGCCUACACUCCCCAACAAAAUGGGAUUGCAGAAAGAAAGAAUCGAACCGUGAUGAAUAUGGUAAGGUCUCUUCUCUCCACUAAGAAGAUACCAAAGUUCUUUUGGGCAGAAGCAGUGGUAUGGACGUUCUACAUCCUCAAUAGGUGUCCCACUGUCUCGGUGAAGAACAUCACACCCCAGGAAGCUUGGUGUGGAGUUAAACCAAGUGUGGAGCAUUUUCGGGUGUGGGGGAGUCUCGGUCAUGUCCAUGUCCCUGAUGAAAAACGAAGUAAACUGGAUGAUAAGAGCGUGACCUGCAUCCUAUUGGGCUUCUCCGAAGAAUCCAAAGGGUAUAGGUUAUACAAUCCCAAGACAAAGAAGAUUGUGGUGAGCAGGGAUGUAGUAUUUGAAGAAAACAAAAGAUGGAAUUGGGAUGAAGAAGAGCACACAGAGAACGUGCUCACUUGGAAUGAUGAUGAUCUAAGCUGGGAAGAAAGUGAAGAAGAAGGAAGUGAUGGUGAAAACGAAGGUGCUGAACCAGAAGCAAAUGCUGAGCCAGAGCAACCCAUGGAGCAGCAAAAUGAUCCGGUUGUGGGAAUCAGGGAGGGAAGAGGAAGGAGACCUCCACGUUAUCUAAGUGAUUAUGUCACUGGUUUUGGAGAAAUAAACGAAGAAGAAGAAGAAGAGGUCAACAUGGUGGAGUUCUCCUCCACUGAUCCCACAACCUAUGAAGAAGCAGAGAACAUCCUGAAAUGGCGGGAGGCAAUGGAUGAUGAGAUGGCUUCUAUCGUGAAGAAUCAAACCUGGAAGUUAUCAGUGUUACCUAAUGAAGCCAAGUGCAUCGGCGUCAAGUGGAUCUACAAAACCAAGCUUGAUGAGAAUGGAGAUGUGAGCAAAUACAAAGCGCGUUUGGUGGCCAAGGGUUACUCUCAAGAACAAGGUCUUGACUACACUGAAGUCUACGCACCUGUUGCCAGAAUGGAUACCAUACGAACCAUCCUAGCCACAGCCGCACAAAGAGCUUGGGACGUCUAUCAGCUAGACGUAAAGUCCGCAUUUCUGCACGGGGUUCUGACUGAAGACGUCUACGUUCAACAACCUAAAGGCUAUGAGGUAGUAGGAGAAGAAGACAAGGUCUACAAGCUCCAUAAAGCAUUGUAUGGCCUAAAGCAGGCUCCAAGGGCUUGGUUCAGUCGGAUUGAGGAAUACUUCAGUAAGGAGGGGUUCAUGAAGUCUCAAAAUGAAGAAACCUUGUUUCUAAAGGUUGAUCAUGGUAAUAUCUUGAUUGUCAGUGUGUAUGUGGAUGAUCUUAUUUACACAGGCGAUGACAUGAAGAUGAUGGAAGAGUUCAGGAACUCAAUGCAAAAGGAGUUUGAUAUGAGUGAUUUGGGGAAGAUGAGGUUCUUCUUGGGGAUCGAGGUGUUGCAGACGUCAAGCGGUAUUCAUAUUUCGCAAUCAAAGUAUGCGUUUGAAGUUCUGAGACGUUUUGAGAUGGAAAGCUGCAACUCAGUAUACAACCCAAUGGUACCCGGGGAGAAGAUCAACAUGGAUGAAGAUGGAGAGCGAGUAGAUGCAACCUACUACAAGCAAAUCAUUGGCAGCCUCAUGUAUCUCACAACAACGAGACCAGACUUGCAAUUCUCUGUAAGCCUUCUAAGCCGCUUCAUGUCAAAUCCCACUAAGCUACAUGUUCAAGCAGCCAAGAGAGUGUUGAGGUAUCUGAAGGGGACUAUUGACUUCGGGAUUUGGUAUAAGAGAGGAGGCGCUGGAGAACUUCUAGUCUACACUGACAGUGAUUUCGCAGGAGAUGUUGAUACAAGGAAGAGCACUUCAGGAUAUGCCUUCCUCAUGGACAACGCAGCAGUGGCGUGGCUUUCCAAGAAACAACCGAUAGUGACACUAUCCACCACCGAAGCUGAGUAUGUUGCUGCCUCUGUUUGUGCAUGUCAAGCCGUGUGGUUCAGAAGGAUGAUGCAAGAGUUGGGACAUGAAGCAACAGAAGGUACCACGAUACUGUGUGACAAUACCUCGACAAUCAAGCUAUCAAAGAAUCAGGUCUUUCAUGGAAGGUGCAAACAUAUUGGCGUUCGUUUUCAUUUUCUUCGUGAGCUGGUGAACAAUGGAGAAAUAAGUCUGGAGCAUUGCGGAUCACAGGAGCAAGUAGCUGACAUAUUCACAAAACCAUUGAGGCGUGAAGUGUUUGAGAAGCUAAGGAGUAAACUUGGAAUUUGCUCUGUUUCGAGUAAGCUAAGUCUUGUGCACCAAGCUUAGUUUAAGGAGGGUUUGUUGGAGCAAAUUGAAGUUACCGUUAAGUGUUUUGAAGUUGUUUGAAGUAGUCUUUGUUUCAUGUUUGAUUUAGUCUUUCAUCGUGUCAAUAAGGUCCGAGUAUCUCGGUCAUAGUUGGUCUUAGUUGUUAGUUUGUUUCAGCUUUUGUAGGAACGACUUGUUAUCUUUGUAAGGCUAUAUAUGUGGCCAUCUAUCUAUGGAAUAAGAUCAGAGUUUACAAGUCAAUUACAG
rnacentral:lncRNA from 1 species